rnacentral:tRNA from 1 species
GGAGAAGUGCCAGAGCGGUCGAAUGGGGCGGUCUCGAAAACCGUUAUGGGGGUGACUCCAUCCAGGGUUCGAAUCCCUGCUUCUCCGCCA